GAAGAGUGGCAUUCAUGAUUUCAAGACCAUGGCUGUGCAAGAUGAUAAAUUGGGUGGUAUCUUGGACAAAGACUUCAAUCUUCUCAGAUGCAACGAAGUCCAGGGAGGGAACAAGAUAUCUGGGGACUGGAGACAAUGAAAUCUGCAACAAACAUCUGGGGAAAAAAAACGAAGAGAAUCUCCCAAAGAGAGUGGAAAACACCAGAGCCAACGGCUGGAUCAUGGAAAAGCUUAACUGUCAUGGUGCCUGGCGUCCACACAGAGCCCGUGGAAGGACCUAUGCCCACCAGUAAGCCUGGAAAACUCCACCUGGACGGGCCCACAGGUAGAGUACCCAGAGGAGUCUUGCUUCAGUAGUGGGAAGCAAUUAGCUCUAGAUAAAGCACUGCUUCAGUUCCACGGAACAGACUUAAAGGCGAGAUCCAAAAGGAUCAAACUGCUUCCAAGUAACCGUGUCCCAGCACAAAG